rnacentral:rRNA from 1 species
UACAGGGGGUGCAAACGUUGCUCGGAAUUAUUGGGCGUAAAGCGCGCGUAGGCGGCUACUUAAGUCGGAUGUGAAAGCCCCUGGCUCAACUGGGGAAGUGCACCCGAAACUGAGUGGCUUGAGUACUAAAGAGGGUCGCGGAAUUCCCGGUGUAGAGGUGAAAUUCGUAGAUAUCGGGAGGAACACCGGUGGCGAAGGCGGCGACCUGGGUAGAUACUGACGCUGAGGCGCGAAAGCUAGGGGAGCGAACAGG